UGGGAAUUUGGACAAUGGGGCAACCUGAUCCAGCAAUGCCGCGUGUGUGAAGAAGGCCUUCGGGUUGUAAAGCACUUUUGUCCGGAAAGAAAACGCCGUGGUUAAUACCCGUGGCGGAUGACGGUACCGGAAGAAUAAGCACCGGCUAACUACGUGCCAGCAGCCGCGGUAAUACGUAGGGUGCAAGCGUUAAUCGGAAUUACUGGGCGUAAAGCGUGCGCAGGCGGUCCGCUAAGACAGAUGUGAAAUCCCCGGGCUUAACCUGGGAACUGCAUUUGUGACUGGCGGGCUAGAGUAUGGCAGAGGGGGGUAGAAUUCCACGUGUAGCAGUGAAAUGCGUAGAGAUGUGGAGGAAUACCGAUGGCGAAGGCAGCCCCCUGGGCCAAUACUGACGCUCAUGCACGAAAGCGUGGGGGAGCAAACAGG
rnacentral:rRNA from 1 species